UCUCUUGGGACUGCAGUGCGCCCUGCUUACAUCUGCCUCCAGCCCAGUUCCCACCUUGUUCCUGAUCCGUUCUCAAUCCUCGUCUCACCUCCAAAGCCUGUGACCAGUCCUGGCUCUGACCCUGAUGCUGGCUCGACCCCUGGCUCUGGCAUUUGGUAUCUGACCUCAGCGCUGACCCUCAGCUUUGAUUCCUGAUUCUGACUCUGGCUUGAACCCUGGCUCUGGUAACUGGCUGUUGACUCUGGUGCCGACCCUUGGCCUUUGUUCACCAACCUGGACAACUGCUCUGCCCACUAGGCCAGACUGCCCAUGUCCCACUCCAUAACACUUAGGCCCUCGCUAAGUCAAGCCAUUCUAGGAGCUGUUUUGCAGCGUAUUGUGGGAGGACUUGUCUGUUCAAACCGAGCUCUAGUGCUGAAGGGCUCUUAGCCUGCCAUCACAGCAAACUCUAGUACCUCUGAUGCUGCGUGCACCUCACUCUGUUCCUUCCGGACGGCGCCAAGGCAGGGCUCCAGCCUUUUGGUGAAGAGGAAGAAACCCAAACCACGGCCACCUCUGAUGGAUGCAGUUCUGCACCAAUCCCGGCCAGGGAAGAGGGAUAGAAAGAAGCAUCCCUCGUUCAGAAGGGGAAAUAAAGAACAUUGGAACAUGCAGGCUUUGAAGUUAGCAUAGCCAAGAGGGUUCUGUUCUCUAAGCUGGAAUGUGACCUACACCAUGGCACGUAAGAACUGCCUAGAUGCGUGUGUGCCUGCAACGCACGGUCACAAUGCAAACUUGAGAAAACAAACACAAUCUGACCCAGGAUCUGCGUAGAGACAGUGAGGGCUUGACAGAGACAGGUUACACCUCCCCAGGCCUAGGAUGGGCUAGACUUUUCCCACCUAUGAGGAAUUGCCUGGUCAGGAAGAGAUUAAUGUCAUUGUCUUCUACCUGCAAUGCUUUGAGUGGCUUUUGAUGACUGGCUGGCUUGGCUGUAUAACUCCAAGGCAAGGAUGAAAGUCUGGGGGAUCCAGGGAGGGAAGGAGCUACCCUACUGCACACAUGGACGCUAGAGGCCCCGGCUGUCUUGCAGAAGGAAAUUGUGCCAUUCCGCUGGCCUGACCCCAUCUCAGAGGGCUCCACCAACUGAUUCCAUCCACUUCUGGGGGUCAGGCAGCCCUGGAAGGCGACUCACUAAACAACAGAGAUUCAUGCUACGCAUCUCACGCCACCACAACUGUGCUUCUCCAGGGGCGAAGUGGCGUGAUCAGAAGAUGUGAUGUUGGAUGAGCACAAAAGCCACAAGAAUGGCCCAGUAUUUGCAAGAGGUUCCAUUUGAAGAUUUGUUUCCUUUCCAAAAUAAAAACAGUGACUAGCGUGUGGAGAGUGUUGAUGGGAGGGGAGGGUCAUUUUUUGGUAAAUGGCCAAAAACCAAACAAACGCUUGGCCAGUAGUAAGACAAGCUGUGCAUCUCCCCUCUGAGCAGAAAGCACCAAGGUAAACAGAGCCAAAUCCAUUGGGGGGGGGGGUUGCAGUCUGCCUCUUAAAAUCCCCACUGUGAUUUCCACUGGCUAUGGGAUUAGUUUUCCCUUCCUGUUCUCUGGGGUUGUAUAGUUGUCAUGAACCCCACUUGGGUCACUGGUGGGAUUUCAGACCAUAAACAGCAUUAAUGCUUAAGCGCAAAGACUAAAUCCAACAGCUGGAAGCCGGGGCAGACUGAGUCUUUUAUGUGGACUAGUCACUGGAGGGUGACAAAAGCCCCGCAGCCUACAAGCACGGGUUACGCAGCAUUGCAGCAUGCUGCUACACAGAGACUGUGUCUAAUUUGUGUAUCCGUUUGUCAUGUGUCCUGGGACCCUAUGGAAUGAAAGACUCUAUUGGCUGAGUAAGUUCUUACUGUCCUGGCUGCUGCUGGGUGAGAUGUGUAUUAAAAAUAUGAAUUUGA